rnacentral:rRNA from 1 species
UGGGGAAUAUUGGACAAUGGGCGCAAGCCUGAUCCAGCAAUGCCGCGUGUGUGAAGAAGGCCUUCGGGUUGUAAAGCACUUUCAGCAGGGAGGAAAGCCUUAGGGUUAAUAACCCUAAGGGGUGACGUUACCUGCAGAAGAAGCACCGGCUAACUCUGUGCCAGCAGCCGCGGUAAUACAGAGGGUGCAAGCGUUAAUCGGAAUUACUGGGCGUAAAGCGCUCGUAGGCGGAUAUUUAAGUCGAUUGUGAAAGCCCUGGGCUUAACCUGGGAACUGCAGUCGAUACUGGGUAUCUAGAGUAUGGUAGAGGAUAGUGGAAUUCCCGGUGUAGCAGUGAAAUGCGUAGAUAUCGGGAGGAACACCAGUGGCGAAGGCGACUUUCUGGACCAAUACUGACGCUGAGGAGCGAAAGCGUGGGGAGCAAACAGGAUUAGAUACCCCCGUAGUCC